rnacentral:piRNA from 1 species
UAGUUUUAACUUUUCCUCUUGGCUC